rnacentral:rRNA from 1 species
UAUGUGGUUAAUUCGAUAGCAACGCGAAGAACCUUACCUGGUCUUGACAUCCCGGAGACCCUUAGGAAACUAGGGGUGCUUCCAUCUGGAAGAAUCUGGAGACAGGUGCUGCAUGGCUGUCGUCAGCUCGUGUCGUGAGAUGUUGGGUUAAGUCCCGCAACGAGCGCAACCCUUGCCUUUAGUUGCCAGCAGUUCGGCUGGGCACUCUAAAGGGACUGCCGGUGUUAAACCGGAGGAAGGUGGGGAUGACGUCAAGUCCUCAUGGCCUUUAUGACCAGGGCUACACACGUACUACAAUGGCCGAUACAAAGGGCAGCGACACUGCGAGGUGAAGCCAAUCCCGUAAAAUCGGUCUCAGUCCGGAUUGGAGUCUGCAACUCGACUCCAUGAAGUUGGAAUCGCUAGUAAUCGUGGAUCAGCAUGCCACGGUGAAUACGUUCCCGGGCCUU